rnacentral:rRNA from 1 species
CCUACGGGUGGCAGCAGUGGGGAAUAUUGCACAAUGGGGGAAACCCUGAUGCAGCAACGCCGCGUGAGUGAUGACGGCUUUCGGUUUGUAAAGCUCUAUCAUCAGGGACGAUAAUGACGGUACCUGAGGAGGAAGCCACGGCUAACUACGUGCCAGCAGCCGCGGUAAUACGUAGGGGGCGAGCGUUGUCCGGAUUUACUGGGCGUAAAGGGAGCGUAGGCGGAAGUGUAAGUGUGAUGUGAAAUACUAGGGCUUAACUUGGGUGCUGCAUUUCAAACUGGGCAUCUAGAGUGCAGGAGAGGUGAGUGGAAUUCCUAGUGUAGCGGUGAAAUGCGUAGAGAUUAGGAGGAACACCAGUGGCGAAGGCGAUUCACUGGACUGUAACUGACGCUGAGGCUCGAAAGCGUGGGGAGCAAACAGGAUUAGAUACCCUGGUAGUC